rnacentral:misc_RNA from 1 species
GUAGGUGAACCUGCGGAAGGAUCAUUACGUACUGUAGGCCGGUCUGACCGGUUCUAUUCUACCCUGUUUUUUGCGCACUCUCUGUUUCCUCGGCAGGCUUUGCCUGCCGAUAGGACCUUAUUUUAAACUCUUUGUUAUCUUAGUAUUCAGUGUCAAUAUAAUACAAAAUUGUAACAACUUUCAACAACGGAUCUCUUGGUUCUGG